rnacentral:rRNA from 1 species
UGGGGAAUUUUGGACAAUGGGCGAAAGCCUGAUCCAGCCAUGCCGCGUGAGUGAAGAAGGCCUUCGGGUUGUAAAGCUCUUUCAGGUGGAAAGAAAACGCAUAGGUUAAUACCUUGUGCGGAUGACGGUACCAUCAGAAGAAGCACCGGCUAACUACGUGCCAGCAGCCGCGGUAAUACGUAGGGUGCGAGCGUUAAUCGGAAUUACUGGGCGUAAAGCGUGCGCAGGCGGUUAUGUAAGACAGAUGUGA